UCAAGUGAAGAAGCGCAUACGGUGGAUGCCUUGGCAGUCAGAGGCGAUGAAAGACGUGGUAGCCUGCGAUAAGCUUUGGGGAGUCGGCAAACAGACUGUGAUCCAGAGAUCUCUGAAUGGGGGAACCCAGCCAGCAUAAGCUGGUUAUCUUGUACUGAAUACAUAGGUGCAAGAGGCGAACCAGGGGAACUGAAACAUCUAAGUACCCUGAGGAAAAGAAAUCAACCGAGAUUCCCUUAGUAGUGGCGAGCGAACGGGGACCAGCCCUUAAGUUGGUUUGAGAUUAGUGGAACGCUCUGGAAAGUGCGGCCAUAGUGGGUGAUAGCCCCGUACACGAAAAUCUCUUAUCAAUGAAAUCGAGUAGGACGGAGCACGAGAAACUUUGUCUGAAUAUGGGGGGACCAUCCUCCAAGGCUAAAUACUACUGACUGACCGAUAGUGAACUAGUACCGUGAGGGAAAGGCGAAAAGAACCCCGGAGAGGGGAGUGAAAUAGAUCCUGAAACCGUAUGCGUACAAGCAGUGGGAGCCUACUUUGUUAGGUGACUGCGUACCUUUUGUAUAAUGGGUCAGCGACUUAUAUUCAGUGGCGAGCUUAACCGAAUAGGGGAGGCGUAGCGAAAGCGAGUCUUAAUAGGGCGUUUAGUCGCUGGGUAUAGACCCGAAACCGGGCGAUCUAUCCAUGGGCAGGUUGAAGGUUAGGUAACACUGACUGGAGGACCGAACCGACUACCGUUGAAAAGUUAGCGGAUGACCUGUGGAUCGGAGUGAAAGGCUAAUCAAGCUCGGAGAUAGCUGGUUCUCCUCGAAAGCUAUUUAGGUAGCGCCUCAUGUAUCACUGUAGGGGGUAGAGCACUGUUUCGGCUAGGGGGUCAUCCCGACUUACCAAACCGAUGCAAACUCCGAAUACCUACAAGUGCCGAGCAUGGGAGACACACGGCGGGUGCUAACGUCCGUCGUGAAAAGGGAAACAACCCAGACCGUCAGCUAAGGUCCCAAAGUCAUGGUUAAGUGGGAAACGAUGUGGGAAGGCUUAGACAGCUAGGAGGUUGGCUUAGAAGCAGCCACCCUUUAAAGAAAGCGUAAUAGCUCACUAGUCGAGUCGGCCUGCGCGGAAGAUGUAACGGGGCUCAAACCAUGCACCGAAGCUACGGGUAUCACGAGUGAAAAACUCGCACGCCGAAAGACCAAGGUUUCCUGCGCAACGUUAAUCGACGCAGGGUUAGUCGGUCCCUAAGGCGAGGCUGAAAAGCGUAGUCGAUGGAAAACAGGUUAAUAUUCCUGUACUUCCAGUUAUUGCGAUGGAGGGACGGAGAAGGUUAGGCCAGCCUGGCGUUGGUUGUCCAGGUUUAAGGUGGUAGGCUGGAAUCUUAGGCAAAUCCGGGAUUCUAAGGCCGAGAGCUGAUGACGAGUUGCCAUUAGGCGACGAAGUGGUUGAUACCAUGCUUCCAAGAAAAGCUCCUAAGCUUCAGAUAACUGGGAACCGUACCCCAAACCGACACAGGUGGUUAGGUAGAGAAUACCAAGGCGCUUGAGAGAACUCGGGUGAAGGAACUAGGCAAAAUGGCACCGUAACUUCGGGAGAAGGUGCGCCGGCGAGGGUCAAGGACUUGCUCCGUAAGCCCAUGCCGGUCGAAGAUACCAGGCCGCUGCGACUGUUUAUUAAAAACACAGCACUCUGCAAACACGAAAGUGGACGUAUAGGGUGUGACGCCUGCCCGGUGCCGGAAGGUUAAUUGAUGGGGUUAGCGCAAGCGAAGCUCUUGAUCGAAGCCCCGGUAAACGGCGGCCGUAACUAUAACGGUCCUAAGGUAGCGAAAUUCCUUGUCGGGUAAGUUCCGACCUGCACGAAUGGCGUAACGAUGGCGGCGCUGUCUCCACCCGAGACUCAGUGAAAUUGAAAUCGCUGUGAAGAUGCAGUGUAUCCGCGGCUAGACGGAAAGACCCCGUGAACCUUUACUAUAGCUUUGCACUGGACUUUGAAUUUGCUUGUGUAGGAUAGGUGGGAGGCUUUGAAGUGGGGACGCCAGUUCUCAUGGAGCCAUCCUUGAAAUACCACCCUGGCAACUUUGAGGUUCUAACUCAGGUCCGUUAUCCGGAUCGAGGACAGUGUAUGGUGGGUAGUUUGACUGGGGCGGUCUCCUCCCAAAGAGUAACGGAGGAGUACGAAGGUGCGCUCAGACCGGUCGGAAAUCGGUCGUAGAGUAUAAAGGCAAAAGCGCGCUUGACUGCGAGACACACACGUCGAGCAGGUACGAAAGUAGGUCUUAGUGAUCCGGUGGUUCUGUAUGGAAGGGCCAUCGCUCAACGGAUAAAAGGUACUCCGGGGAUAACAGGCUGAUACCGCCCAAGAGUUCAUAUCGACGGCGGUGUUUGGCACCUCGAUGUCGGCUCAUCACAUCCUGGGGCUGAAGCCGGUCCCAAGGGUAUGGCUGUUCGCCAUUUAAAGUGGUACGCGAGCUGGGUUUAGAACGUCGUGAGACAGUUCGGUCCCUAUCUGCCGUGGACGUUUGAGAUUUGAGAGGGGCUGCUCCUAGUACGAGAGGACCGGAGUGGACGAACCUCUGGUGUUCCGGUUGUCACGCCAGUGGCAUUGCCGGGUAGCUAUGUUCGGAAGAGAUAACCGCUGAAAGCAUCUAAGCGGGAAACUUGCCUCAAGAUGAGAUCUCACUGGGAUCUUGAAUCCCCUAAAGGGCCGUCGAAGACUACGACGUUGAUAGGUUGGGUGUGUAAGCGCUGUGAGGCGUUGAGCUAACCAAUACUAAUUGCCCGUGAGGCUUGACCAU
rnacentral:rRNA from 1 species